UUUAAAUCUUUCAGUGCAUAUGGAAAUUUUUACUACAAACCUUUGCUCUCAAAAUGAGCUUUAAUAUUUGGGGAGUAGCUGUUGCACUACUCCAGAAAAGAAUAUUUGAAACUAAUUUCAAGCUUCUAAGGAUAUGUUAAUUGGCUAAGUACCUCACCCUACCAGAGGACUUAGGUCUUUGUUAUGCACAUUGGAGAUAAAGCUUCAGCUGUGUUAAUACAGAAUUGUAGACUAGAGUCAUGGAAGUAUUUUAAAAAGAAACCUGGUGAAACAUAUCUUAUUCUAAACAACAGUUAAUGGGUUAUUACAAAAUACUGAUAUUUGGCCUAUUACAUAUACAAAUUUUUCAGGCAAAAUUGAUAAUUUUACUCUUUGCAUGCUUUUGUACUUCCUGUAUAUUUGUGCAUACAACCCAUAGGAAAUGCGCUUACUGUAUUUAUAGGUGGUUCAUCUAAUGAAAAGGCUACAUGUAUGAUUGGAUCACUUGUUUAUUCUCUUGAGUUUCUGUUGCUUCAGUACAUUAUUAAAUUCCGUGCUUUAGCCACUGUUUUUAAAUCAAGCUUUCAAUUCAUAUACUGAUAGCCAAUGUUUGGCUUGUGGUUUACAAUUGAUUUCAAUUACUUAAUGCUUUAUUAGAGACAAGUUUUCUACAUGAAAUCAGUGAGUGAUGAUUUCAGUAUAAAUUGUCUGACAACUCACUGCCCUUUCAGUGCUCUGGCUCAGACAACUAUACAAAACCAUAGAAAAUGGCGAUAGAGUUGAUAGGAAAAGAGGAAGACUCCAUUUGCUUACUUUAAAUUCCCAGCCUCACCCUGCCACCUCAGGGAUUUCUAGUACGACUAAAUCUAGACAAUAUUUACAGGAUUUGACAUUUCUAAUUAAUGCUUAUGUUUAGGUAAAUAAAGUUUGUGAGGUGCUAGAGAAAUGGCUUAGUGGUUAAGAGCACUAAGUACUGUUCCUUUAUAGGAUAUUUAAGAACUCAAACUGGAUUGCCUGGGCUCUUUAGCAAGGUAGCAAUGAUACCAGACAGACUAUAGGCCUUACAUAGGAACAAUUAGUCAAAAAAAUCUCAUUCUUUAUAUAUCCAAAACAAUAAUGCUGGAGACAAUAAUUUGGUAUACAAGUCAAUUUAUAAAUACAAGUGCUCAGUGUCCUCAAUUUAAUCCUUGAGGAUUUACCUUAAUAAAUAAUAUCUUUACUAUAUCUUUAUAAAUAAAAAGGGGGAGUUAUCCCUGUAUGCUAAAUAAUGCUCCUUUUAUUUCAGUUUUAAAAUUUGGAUGCCAAAGUUUAUGGCACCCUACAACUAGGCAUACUUCUGCCUAGGUGAAAUAGAGAGAUCCACAUAGUGACAUGAUCCUGUCCAGAUAUUUUAUAUGGGGAAGAGGGAAUGUUUGUGUUUUUUCUACAGGAUGCUACAAGAGUGUGCCAGCUGCCUGAGUGGUUGCUGAGACUUGCUGAUCCUGGUUACAUGAAGAUUCAGCUCUCGUGGUUCGGGUCCUUGGAGUCAUCCCUCUGCCCUGAGAGGAAGAUGAAAGAUUCCCCUUCAUCCUUUGUCAUCACAGAGAUUUUGCCGUUACUGCAGUCAGUGUUACCGCUGCGUGUGUCCCGUCCCACUAUGGCCCACUCUCUGACCCUCUGUGCACUGCUGCUUUCUGGAGAAGACUGGACUCCAGCCGUUGCUGCCCCCUUCAUUCCCUGGUGACUCUUGCUGCCUUAACUGGUCAUUUUACAGACUGUAGCUUCACAGGAAUGCCACCUGCGUAAAGCUGCUGUGGACUGGGGAACUCUGCCCUGGUUGUACAGAUCUCAGAAAUGGUUCCAUUGUCUGCUGGUUGUUCCAGAGAAAAAUGACUGAUCCUGAACUGUCCUGGAAAAGACCUUGACACUUUCACUGCUAUUGUAGCAGCCAUUACUGCUGCAGACAUUGUGUCUGCAGUGUCUGGAGUUGUCCUCCCCCAAUCUAUUGUUAGACAAGCACAGUGGGUAAACUUUCUGGAGUAGUUACUAACAAUUGGGAAUUCUAAAUUCUAUUAUAGGAGUGGCUUGACUACGGCCCUUGGUGGUAACAGCUGAGAUGAACCAGAUGAGGUGCCCGCUACUUAUCAGGAGUGACUCUGUUUGGUGCAGCCCUAUGCUGUGGAUUAGUGUUCAUGCUAUGGAGGACAAACACAGAUGCAGGUUUCCAACUCAAAUUACAAACUGAUGAUUUGGUUUAAUAUGGAUGCACAUAUGAAAGAAUCCAUGCAUACACCCAAUCUACAAUGAAAAGGAAAAAGCUGAGUAAAGAAAAACACAAAAUGUACCAUCUAAGGAGAAAAGAAGAAUCAAGAAGAAGAAUUCAGUUAAGUCCUGAGUUCAGAAAGAUAAACAGGUUAAAGAACAGUCUGAUAUCAAAUGAUAUAAAGGAACUGGUGACCUUGGGGAAAGAUCCCACCAGGAGACAGUUGUGCAGCUGACCCUGUGUAGAGGCUUGGAAGGUCAUUGUGUGAAGCUAUGGAGGUGAAGCCUGAAUUGCCUUGGAAUCACCAACAUGGUGGAGACAACACAGCCAUGAGACACCUGCCCAAUAAAGCUGCUAAUGGAAUGAAAACAACUGGAAGAGAGAGAUGAGGAUGCAGGACCCUCAGCUACUUCUCUAGGACCAUGUCUGCCUGCAUACCAGCAUGCUUCCCACCACGAAGACAAUGGACUAAACCUUUGAAAGUCAGGAAACAGGUGCAGUGAAGUCAAUCCUCAGUAACUGGAGAAUUGAGUAAGAAUUCAGGGCUGGGCUGGAGAGAUAGCUCAUCAGUUAAGAGAACUGGCUGCUCUUCAAGAGGUCGUGAGUUCAAUUUUCAGCAACCUCAUGAUGGCUCACAACCAUCUGUAAUGGGAUCCAAUGUCCUCUUCUGGAAUGUCUGAAGACACCAACAGUGUAUACAUAAAAUAAAUAAUAACCUUAAAAAAGAAUUCAUGGUCACAUGUUCUACCUAUGUCACACAGCGAACAUGUACUAACUUUAAUUUUCCCGUAAUUAAAAACAUUCUUAUCCAAACAAACACUUCAUCUGAUACAAGUUAUUUUAUCUUAAAAAUGGAGAUUGUUAAUGUCCCAAAUAUUUAAAAAUAUUAAGUUCCAUCUUUUUUUUUUAAUUUUUAUUUAUUUUUUUCCAUCUUUAUUAACUUGAGUAUUUCUUAUUUACAUUUCGAUUGUUAUUCCCCUUCCCGGU